UACAGAGGUCUCAAGCGUUGUUCGGAUUUCAUUGGGCGUAAAGGGUGCGUAGGCGGCGCGGUAAGUCGGGGUGUGAAAUCUCGGAGCUUAACUCCGAAACUGCAUUCGAUACUGCCGUGCUUGAGGACUGGAGAGGAGACUGGAAUUUACGGUGUAGCGGUGAAAUGCGUAGAUAUCAGGAGGAACACCGGUGGUGUAGACGGCUCUCUGGACCGUAACUGACGCUGAGACACGAAAGCGUGGGUAGCAAACAGG
rnacentral:rRNA from 1 species